AGCAGCCGCGGUAAUUCCAGCUCCAAUAGCGUAUAUUAAAGUUGUUGCAGUUAAAAAGCUCGUAGUUGAAUUUCGGAACCGAUGGAUCGGUCACGCCAUUCGGUGUGUACUGGUUUAAUUGGUUCUCACCUUCUAAGGAACCGUGAUGUCAUUAAUUUGGUGUCGCGGGGAAUUAGGACUGUUACCUUGAAAAAAUUAGAGUGUUUAAAGCAAGCUCACGCUUGAAUACAUUAGCAUGGAAUAAUGAAAUAGGACAUUGUAUUCUACUUUGUUGGUUUCUAGGAUCGAUGUAAUGAUUAAUAGGGAUAGUUGGGGGCAUUAGUAUUCAAUUGUCAGAGGUGAAAUUCUUGGAUUUUAUUGAAGACUAACUACUGCGAAAGCAUUUGCCAAGGAUGUUUUCAUUAAUCAAGAACGAAAGUUAGGGGAUCGAAGACGAUCAGAU
rnacentral:rRNA from 1 species